rfam:Schistosoma haematobium scaffold445_5, whole genome shotgun sequence.
AUCCAGCAUACGAGUCCCAAAUAGGACGAAACGCGCGUCCUAAAU